CCUUUGAAUGGGCUAACACGUGGCUCUGGGCUGGGUACACGAGUCCGCAAGGCCCGGGUUGGACGGCAAGCUAAUCUCUGGAAAGCCAGUCUCAGUUUCGGAUUGUAGGCUGCAACUCGCCUACAUGAAGUCGGAAUCGCUAGUAAUCGCGGAUCAGCACGCCGCGGUGAAUACGUUCCCGGGCCUUGUACACACCGCCCGUCACACCACGAGAGUUUGUAACACCCGAAGUCGGUGAGGUAACCGUAAGGAGCCAGCCGCCUAAGGUGGGAUAGAUGAUUGGGGUGAAGUCGUAACAAG
rnacentral:rRNA from 1 species